ACAAUCGUCUUAUUAUUCAGAGCCUCAAACUCAUGAGUAUAAUAAGGUGAUCAUCCGCAAAAUGCUAUGGUACCACGUCUAACAUUCAAAAUACGACCGUCCAUAGUACAUCAAAGUAAAGUGAACUAGUGUAGUACAAAUGCUCACUAGCUAGAAAUAGUUAAAACAGAAUAAUCCAAAGAGCAUCUCCGGUCUAGGUUAGUUUGUUGCUAAAUUUAACAAUUGUUUAACAAUUAAAAUAGCAAUGGUGCUCUAACAGUAAAUUGUUAUUUGAAGUUUGGAGUUAACUGAUAAAUUUUGACAAAUCAUGAAUUAACAAGUGAACAAAAUGGAAAAAAAAACCUAGUUGCUAAAUUUAUCAAUCUAGCUUACCAAUAGUAGUUAAAAUAAACUUCUGUUUAGGUAUUGUGCUGAAGUUGAUUUUUGCUACAAAAAUGCAUAAAUUUAGUUAAAAUUCAAGUUUUCUAAUUUAUAAGAUAAUUUGUUUUUACUUUUUCCAUCUUCCGUAAAAAAAAUAAAAAAUAAAAAAACAAAAAAAAN
rnacentral:lncRNA from 1 species